UGGGGAAUAUUGGACAAUGGGCGCAAGCCUGAUCCAGCCAUACCGCGUGGGUGAAGAAGGCCUUCGGGUUGUAAAGCCCUUUUGUUGGGAAAGAAAAGCAGUCGGCUAAUACCCGGUUGUUCUGACGGUACCCAAAGAAUAAGCACCGGCUAACUUCGUGCCAGCAGCCGCGGUAAUACGAAGGGUGCAAGCGUUACUCGGAAUUACUGGGCGUAAAGCGUGCGUAGGUGGUUGUUUAAGUCUGUUGUGAAAGCCCUGGGCUCAACCUGGGAAUUGCAGGGGAUACUGGGCGACUAGAGUGUGGUAGAGGGUAGUGGAAUUCCCGGUGUAGCAGUGAAAUGCGUAGAGAUCGGGAGGAACAUCCAUGGCGAAGGCAGCUACCUGGACCAACACUGACACUGAGGCACGAAAGCGUGGGGAGCAAACAGG
rnacentral:rRNA from 1 species